rnacentral:misc_RNA from 1 species
CUUAUAUCCUCAAAACCCUUUUCCCCCAAAUUUCUCUCUCUCCGUCUCCUGCUUCUUCCCAUUUUAUGCUUCCAUUCUGCCAUUCCUGUUCUUGCUCAAAAUGCGGAUGAGUUGUAAUGGUUGCAGAGUACUUCGCAAAGGUUGCAGUGAAAAUUGCAGUAUUCGACCUUGUUUGCAGUGGAUCAAGACUCCUGAAUCUCAGGCUAACGCUACCGUUUUUCUCGCUAAGUUCUAUGGCCGUGCUGGUCUCAUGAACCUCAUCAACGCGGGUCCUGAUCAUCUCCGUCCUGCGAUUUUUAGAUCUCUUCUCUACGAGGCUUGUGGCCGGAUUGUGAAUCCGAUUUACGGAUCGGUUGGAUUGUUGUGGUCUGGUAGUUGGCAGCUUUGUCAGGCGGCUGUAGAGGCCGUACUUAAAGGUGCUCCGAUCACGCCGAUCAACUCCGAGGCAGCGGCUACUGGCGAUGGACCACCGUUGAAGGCCUACGACAUUCGUCACGUUUCCAAGGAUGAAAACUCCGUCGCGUCCAACGAUGGUGGAGCCAAUCGGCGAGUUAAGACUCGGUGCCGGUUCAAGCGGUCGGCUGUGAAGGCGAAAGGGAGUAAAGGAAUCGACUCUACUGUCGAUGAGUCGACUCGGCGAUUCUGCUCUACCGAGUUGAACAGGUCGUCGAGUGGUGAGUCGUCGUUGAGUCACCAAUCCGACUCGCGGCAUCUCGAGAACGAGAGUAAAGAAACCGAGAGCAUGAUUUCAGUGGAGACGGCGGAGGUUUCUCCUCCUCCGAUGCCGUCUGUUUUGUUCCGAUCGGAAUCCAGUUCGGUACUGAAAUCCACGGGCCAGGACGGCGGCGUAGUGGCAAUUCCGCAAAGUGAAUUAGCUCUAGAACUAACCCUGGGGAUGGAGCCGGCGUUACGUGCCCAGCACGUGAUUCCAAUGAAGAAGCGAAAGAUAGAGGCCGACGUUGGGUUCAGGCCCAAUAACGACACGUGCAAUACAGUUUUGGGCCUUGAUUUUUCAGCCUGAAAAGGAGGCCCAAUAAUGAGCACACCCACAAAACGACGACAAUAAUAAUAAGAGAAAAAAGUAAGAAUAAAAGAGAGUACAAUUUUGACGGCGGGGAUUGGCUAUCUUCGGUGGCAUAGAAGAGAU